CGACUGCCCUUCCGUCGUCCGGGAGGCGGGGGGCGGGGAUUAUUACUGCCAGCACCGGGUGAAGUACACGUGGGACGUCGUCAAAGCCCCUCCGAGGCCCCGACCCCUGACGCGCACCUUCCGGGCAGCCCCGCCCCCACGUGCCUCCCUGCCGCGCAGCUGCGGUGGGCGCCUUCCUUCCUUCACGUUCGCACACUCCUUUCACCUGCCGAGGAAAGGAAAGAGCCCCACGACGUUUAGAGAUUUAGCAUGGAGUCUGAAAUGGGGAAAAUGAGAAUUGCUCUCAAAUCCAGCUGCAAUCAAUCAUCUUGGAAAAUACUCUCGUCCCUGAAUUAUACCACUGUGCCCAGUAAUACUGCAGAAGAAUACCUCCCUUCUCAUGCCCUCACUAGCAAAGUUCUACAUCAAGCUUUUGGACUGUUGACAAUACGACAGGAUCUCUUCUGGGUUAUCUACCUGUGGUUGGGAUUGCUGCAGUAACAUGUGUGAAAUGUGAUACCAGUUCAUCUCAGCAACCAGCUCAACAGUGAAUGCUAGAAUUGGUCUACUGUGAUCUGGGAGCAGGUGACCCUGCUUCUAACAAAUUGUCAAGUCACUAGUAACCUGAUGCUACCUCAUAAUGCCUGUAUCAUUCGCUGCACUUCAUCUCAUCACACAGCCAUUUUAUCAUCUCCCUUCACCACAAGAAGAUGAGGACUUGAAUGCAGUGAUCAUGUAAAUUAGAGAAAGGAGACAAAAGUAACUUCUGAAAUAUUCUUCUCAUGUGAUAUUUAUUCUGGAUGAAGCACUAAGAUCGCUCAUAGAGGUGUAUCACUGUAAUUUGCUGCCAGAAGUGUUUUCUUCCAAAAGGCUUUCCUGUGGAGAAUGUGUUUGCCACACCUCUCAGCAGAACCACCAUAAUUGAAUGAACAGAUCAUCUCGCACAUCCAGAAUUCUGAGUUUGCACCUCGUUUUGAUGACUGUUGAAUGACACCGUGCCAUAGUCCGUGACCGUUUGUACAUCAUGAAUAAAGGAGAAUUUUCUCCUCUAAGAGAUUUGAGUCUUGAUCUCUGUAUCGUUCAGCAGGCAAAUUUACUGGCACAGGGAUGUACCCAUUGUCCUGAGAAGAGGGGUGAGGGUACGUGUCUUUUUGGCACAGUGAGGCCCGGACUACGUUGGCAGGUGACUUUCUGAAGCAGAACAUGGGUGUAUCUAUGGAUCUGACCACUGUGAAGAAAUUCUGGCUAUGUUAAAAUGGAGAUGAUACUCCAGACCAGUGCUUCUCAAAUAUUGAUGCGAUUCACCUAGAAAUCUUGUAAAGUACAGAUUCUGACUAAGUCUGAAAUAAAUUCUUGAGAUUUUGCGAUUGAAAUAGCUUUGUAGAUGAUGUAUGUCUUAUCCACUCGGGUUGCUAUAAAAAUGGACCAUAAGCUGGGUCACUGAAACAUUAAUCUCUCACAGUUCUAGAGGCUGGGAAGUCCAAGGGCAGGGCACUGGCAGGUUUGGUGUCAGACGAGGACCCUCUUCCUACUCCAGAUGGUUGUCUUCCUGCUGAGUCCUCACGUGGUGGGAGGAACCCCAGAGCGCUGUCAUGUCUCUUUUUUUUAUUAAAAAAAAUUGUUUAACAUUUAUUUAUUUCUGAAACAGAGACAGAGCAUGAACGGGGGAGGGUCAGAGAGAG